rnacentral:lncRNA from 1 species
UGACUCUAGGCAUCGUGCCAUUUGCAUUAUCUUUUAUUCUUUAUUUCCUCAGCAGGUGGCAUUUUAUGUUGCUCAAAAUUUUUAUCUACUUAUCUUUGAGUAGAUAGCCGAAGGUCAAUUCACCUUAGAGAUGUCAAAUAGGUACUUGUCCUUGUUUUCAGUUUUGAACAGCUUCAUGGUCUUUGAUUGCGUUAAUGCUCGGUAGGUAUUGAUAGGAUCUGCUUUUGCUGAGGGAUCAUAUUAAAUUUAGUUGGGUGGGCCAGAUCUAAGUAAGUGACGAUUGACACCAGACUUGGACUUUGACUCCGUAGGCUCCUUUUUUCCUGCUAUUUCAGUUAGG